rnacentral:rRNA from 1 species
UACGUAGGGUCCGAGCGUUGUCCGGAAUUACUGGGCGUAAAGAGCUCGUAGGUGGUUUGUCGCGUUGUUCGUGAAAACUCACAGCUCAACUGUGGGCGUGCGGGCGAUACGGGCAGACUUGAGUACUGCAGGGGAGACUGGAAUUCCUGGUGUAGCGGUGGAAUGCGCAGAUAUCAGGAGGAACACCGGUGGCGAAGGCGGUUCUCUGGGCAUUACCUGACGCUGGAGGAAGCGAAAGCCUAGGGGAGCAAACGGG